AUGCUUGAGGAGAUGUCUGCUCUCGACAAGAAUAAUACAUGGGUAAUUACUCCACUUCCUUGUAACAAGAAAGUGGUAGGUUGCAAAUGGGUGUUUACCAUAAAACAUACACCCGAAGGGAAAGUAGAUAGAUAUAAGGCGAGACUUGUGGCGAAAGGUUAUAGCCAGACAUAUGGAGUGGACUAUGAUGAAACCUUCGCCCCAGUUGCAAAGAUGAACACCAUCAGAGCUUUAAUCUCGGUGGCAGCAAAUAACAAGUGGAAGUUGUUUCAGCUAGAUGUGAAGAAUGCAUUUCUUCAUGGAGAUUUGAAAGAAGAAGUUUAUAUGGAGAUUCCACCAGGGUUCAGUGGGCCUGAGACAAUGGGGAAUGAUGAUGUGGAGAUAAAGAACUUGAAGAAAAUGUUGGCGAAAUCAUUUGAAGUCAAAGACCUUGGCUUCCUCCACUUCUUCCUGGGAAUAGAAGUAGCUUAUGGAGCUCAAGGUAUCUAUCUUUCUCAAAGGAAAUAUCUGCUUGAUCUUCUCGCUGAAACUAGGAUGCUUGAAAGUAAACCAGCUGCCACACCAAUUGAACCAAACCUUCGUAUUACAGCCAAUUCAGGAGAACCUGUUGAUAGGGGGAGAUACCAGAGACUUGUGGGACGUUUAAUUUAUCUAUCCCAUACUAGACCAGACAUUGCAUAUGCCGUGAGCCUGGAGAUCCACUUCAGGUUAUUGCGUCUUCUUGGGAGGAAAUUUAGUCAGUUGGAGGAGUAA
rnacentral:rRNA from 1 species